AGAGUUUGAUCCUGGCUCAGAAUGAACGCUGGCGGCGUGUUUAAGACAUGCAAGUCGAACGGAGUAACAUGAGUAGCAAUACAAGUGUUGCUCAGUGGCGCACGGGUGCGUAACACGUGAGUUACAUGCCCUGCAGAGAGGGAUAGCCCAGGGAAACUUGGAUUAAUACCUCAUGGUCUCGCAAGAGUAAAGAUGGCCGUAAGGCUGUCACUGCAGGAUUGGCUCGCGGCCUAUCAGCUAGUUGGUGAGGUAACGGCUCACCAAGGCUACGACGGGUACCUGGUCUGAGAGGACGAUCAGGCACACUGGAACUGAGACACGGUCCAGACACCUACGGGUGGCAGCAGUCGAGAAUCAUUCACAAUGGGGGCAACCCUGAUGGUGCAACGCCGCGUGGAGGAAGAAGGUCUUCGGAUUGUAAACUCCUGUCAUCUAGGAGCAAGGCAUGGUGGUAAAUAGCCAACAUGAUUGAUAGUACUAGAAGAGGAAGGGACGGCUAACUUCGUGCCAGCAGCCGCGGUAAUACGAAGGUCCCGAGCGUUAUUCGGAAUCACUGGGCGUAAAGGGAGCGUAGGCGGCGUGGAAAGUCAGAUGUGAAAUCCCAGAGCUCAACUCUGGAACUGCAUCCGAUACUACCAUGCUAGAGUAUUGGAGGGGUAACUGGAAUUCUCGGUGUAGCAGUGAAAUGCGUAGAUAUCGAGAGGAACACUCGUGGCGAAAGCGAGUUACUGGACAAUUACUGACGCUGAGGCUCGAAAGGCUAGGGGAGCAAAAGGGAUUAGAUACAGCCUGUAGUCCUA
rnacentral:rRNA from 1 species